rnacentral:tRNA from 3 species
GCCCCCAUCGUCUAGCGGUUCAGGACAUCUCUCUUUCAAGGAGACAACGGGGAUUCGACUUCC